ensembl:lncRNA
UUUCAAAACCUGCUGUGAUUUCAUUAAACAGCACAUGAGUGCUCUGAAAAGUUCAGAACCUAAUUACUGCAUGUGUGCUCCGAGGGGCUUUGCAUUUGGCGCAGGAUUUCUGUAGGUGGGGGAAGCUCAGGCCCUGUUCAGCAGCAGCGCCCUCUGGCUCCCUGCCCAGAGCUUUGUUCAGGUUGGAUAUUAGGAACAAUUUCUUCUCAGAAAGAGCGGUGAUGCUGUGGCACAGCUGCCCGGCAAAGUGAUGGGGUCAUCAUCACUGGGGGUGUUUGAGAACCGUGGAGAUGUGGCACUGUGGGAUGUGGGACGGCUGCAGCCCCUCCAUCUACAGGAGCAGCAUUUCUGCCCAUGCCUUCUGCCCAUGCUGCUUUGCCCCCUGGCCUUUGGAUUCCAGGUGCCCACACAGCACAGCUUUGGAGGGCUCAGGAUGCUGUUUCUCCGUGGAUUCAUCACCCCGAAGCCCCUUCUGAUGGAUCUGCUGGAGGAAAUUGCAGGUGUUCCUUCACAAUCAGCCCAGCACUGCUGCUCUGUGGAUGUUACGAAUGCACUGCAGUUGGGUUUGGAGAAUAAAGGCCCCUCUCUGCUUUCCCGAAAGAGCAAACGUGGGAGUCUGAGGAGAAGGCGUUUGCAGAGGAGAAAAGAGUGCUGUGCAGGAGUGCAGGAUGGGUACACUGAGUCGUUCUUACGAAAAACUAAAUCCAGGCACUGCAGUGAAUGAAGCUCCAGUGGACCUUCCAGCUUUUCAUUAUAACACAGCAACGAGCAAUUUACGCCUAUUUAGAAUGAGGGGGCAAACUGCAGAAGGGCUCAGCACAAC